UACGACGCGAGCCAUAGUCGGGUGUACGUCGAAUUUGUACGCAACUAACCCCUGACUGAAAGUCGACUCGUCUCAUCAGCCCCGUCAGUCGUCAAUUCAGUACCACUUGUUCGAUUUAAUCGGGGAAACAGUCUAGAGUACAAGUCGAAUAUUAACUUGUCAAAGGAGAUAUAUUUUUUGAAAAUAGAGGUGAACUUGAGUGCAAAGGGCAGGAGUAUCACGUUAGGAUUCCGAGGAUCGAUAAACUAGGAGAAUGUUCAAGAAAGCGCUCACUGAAUCGGGGAAGCGAAUUUUGAAGUUUUAGUUGAAAAAUCGUUUUAAAUUGGGUCACACAAUAAGUUUGAAUCAAGUCGAGCUGGAUCAGGUCAGGAAGCGAGACAGUUCGUGUUUAUAUCGUUUGCAUGAAUCAAGUUUAAGUCUGAGAGAUGCAAUAAAAAAACUGUCAACUCGAAGCAGAGCAGUGAGGAAAUCCCAGCUGGAGCAAAAAAAAUCGCACUACAAUGAGAUAAUGUACGAAGUAUCUCCGGCAGUUGUGCCUGGAUGGUCUGCAACAUAUUUAGAACCUGA